rnacentral:tRNA from 1 species
CAGGGAGACAACAAAAUGUUUAAUAUUAUUAUUUUGUCACCUUAGGUCGAUCGGUAUCUCACGUUUUUAAUUUAUUAAGAAUUUCAUUUCCUAAGUUUUUCUAGGUCACACCCAUUAUUUUCCUGGGCCAUUAGCUCAGGUGGUUAGAGCGCACCCCUGAUAAGGGUGAGGUCCCUGGUUCAAGUCCAGGAUGGCCCAUAUCUCUAUGUUGGGGGUAUAGCUCAGUUGGUAGAGCGCCUGCUUUGCAAGCAGGAUGUCAGCGGUUCGAGUCCGCUUACCUCCACUGAUUACCACCUCUUCCAUAACUGGUAGAAAGGAAUUUUUUGAGUUGUGAUCAAAUUCUGAAAGAAUCUAGCUUCCUAAUGAAAUCAUUAAGAUGCUGGACUCAUUGAAUUUAUUUCAUUGUUUUCAGAGAACCUUGACAACUGCAUAGAUUAUUUUUAAAGACAAUAAGCAUCUUUAAUGAUGCAGAUUUAUUAUUUGUGCGAAUGCAUUAAUAACAAUUCUAUUAAGCUGAUGCUUCAAUUUUUGAAGUUAUU